rnacentral:rRNA from 1 species
GAUGAACGCUGACGGCGUGCCUAAUACAUGCAAGUCGAGCGAACAGACGAGGAGCUUGCUCCUCUGACGUUAGCGGCGGACGGGUGAGUAACACGUGGAUAACCUACCUAUAAGACUGGGAUAACUUCGGGAAACCGGAGCUAAUACCGGAUAAUAUAUUGAACCGCAUGGUUCAAUAGUGAAAGACGGUUUUGCCGUCACUUAUAGAUGGAUCCGCGCCGCAUUAGCUAGUUGGUAAGGUAACGGCUUACCAAGGCAACGAUGCGUAGCCGACCUGAGAGGGUGAUCGGCCACACUGGAACUGAGACACGGUCCAGACUCCUACGGGAGGCAGCAGUAGGGAAUCUUCCGCAAUGGGCGAAAGCCUGACGGAGCAACGCCGCGUGAGUGAUGAAGGUCUUCGGAUCGUAAAACUCUGUUAUUAGGGAAGAACAAAUGUGUAAGUAACUAUGCACGUCUUGACGGUACCUAAUCAGAAAGCCACGGCUAACUACGUG